ACAAACCAGUUGUGCUUUACAAAACUCAAGCAGAUUGCUAAAAUUGGAGGAAAACAUGAUUAUCAAGGUUCAAUGGGGAUGGAUCAAAGUAGCAGAUUCAACUGCAAGGAUGUGAAAGCUUGGUUUCAACAUGGAGUUGCAUUAGUUAUGUUUGAUUGCUGGUUUUAUUGUGUGUUUAAUUUCCUUGUCUGAAAAA